rnacentral:rRNA from 1 species
CAGCCGCCGCGGUAAAACGUAGGUCCCGAGCGUUGUCCGGAUUUAUUGGGCGUAAAGGGAGCGCAGGCGGUUUAGUAAGUCUGGAGUUAAAGGCAUUGGCUCAACCAAUGUAUGCUUUGGAAACUGGGAAACUUGAGUGCAGAAGAGGAGAGUGGAAUUCCACGUGUAGCGGUGAAAUGCGUAGAGAUGUGGAGGAACACCAGUGGCGAAGGCGACUCUCUGGUCUGUAACUGACGCUGAGGAGCGAAAGCGUGGGGAGCGAACAGGAUUAGAUACCCCCGUAGUCCCUGUCUCUUAUACA